CAUUCUAUGGCUUAUUUGCCCUAAAUUUGGUCACUUUCCAUUGAUAGAAUUGGUUUUGCCUUUCAGAAUUACAUUAACCCCAAAUUAAGAAGUGUACACCACAAAGACAGAAAAAAGUACUACUAAGGAUUUAGGAGCAAAUAAAGACAUUUUAACUGAAACUACAAAGCUAAAUUAAAUCACUUUUUAUGGUAAACCUAAAAGUAUUGGUGGUGAUCUGUUGGAGUUUAAUACCAACACUCAAAAACUCAUUUGUGAAUGAGCUGGUAGAAGUGAAAGCAUUCUUUUUAGGCCAUUAGUGGCCUCAGAUCAAGAGAUACUAUCUAGGUAGAUGA
rnacentral:lncRNA from 1 species